ACUCCUACGGGAGGCAGCAGUGGGGAAUCUUGCGCAAUGGGCGAAAGCCUGACGCAGCCAUGCCGCGUGAAUGAUGAAGGUCUUAGGAUUGUAAAAUUCUUUCACCGGGGACGAUAAUGACGGCACCCGGAGAAGAAGCCCCGGCUAACUUCGUGCCAGCAGCCGCGGUAAUACGAAGGGGGCUAGCGUUGCUCGGAAUUACUGGGCGUAAAGGGAGCGUAGGCGGACAUUUAAGUCAGGGGUGAAAUCCCGGGGCUCAACCUCGGAAUUGCCUUUGAUACUGGGUGUCUUGAGUAUGAGAGAGGUGUGUGGAACUCCGAGUGUAGAGGUGAAAUUCGUAGAUAUUCGGAAGAACACCAGUGGCGAAGGCGACACACUGGCUCAUUACUGACGCUGAGGCUCGAAAGCGUGGGGAGCAAACAGGAUUAGAAACCCCAGUAGUCCCA
rnacentral:rRNA from 1 species